rnacentral:rRNA from 1 species
CGUAGGGUGCGAGCGUUAAUCGGAAUUACUGGGCGUAAAGCGUGCGCAGGCGGUUGUGUAAGACAGGCGUGAAAUCCCCGGGCUCAACCUGGGAACUGCGCUUGUGACUGCACGGCUAGAGUACGGCAGAGGGGGGUGGAAUUCCACGUGUAGCAGUGAAAUGCGUAGAGAUGUGGAGGAACACCAAUGGCGAAGGCAGCCCCCUGGGUCGAUACUGACGCUCAUGCACGAAAGCGUGGGUAGCAAACAGGAUUAGAUACCCUGGUAGUCCACGCCCUAAACGAUGUCAACUAGGUGUUGGGAGGGUAAAACCUUUUAGCACCGGAGCUAACGCGUGAAGUUGACCGCCUGGGGAGUACGGCCGCAAGGUUA